GCCGUUGCUAUGAUAAUCCUAUUUAGUACGAGAGGAUCUGCAGGUUCAGAUUAUUGGUAUAUCUACCUGGUCGACAGGCCAGUGGCGCGAAGCUACCAUCUGAGAGAUCAAGGCUGAAAACCUCUAAGUCUGAAUACUGUCCAUAUUUGCAAAGGU
rnacentral:ncRNA from 1 species